rnacentral:lncRNA from 1 species
CACCAUGUGGGUGGGGAUAUGCUCCUGCGUAUGUGCAAAAAAAUCUAUAUGAAGAGAUGGAUAUGUUAGUUUAGUUGAAAAAAAAAUAUAUAUAUAUAUGGGAGCUUCAAGAAGUUUUUGGAAAAUGGAAUAUUAAAAUAAUGGUGAUUUUUCCAUGUACUUUUACAUUUAUUUAUUUUCAUUUCUAUGAAACGCAAAGACAUACAGACAAAGAUCCUCCACUGCUGGUCCACUCUCCAAAUGUCCUCAAUAGCUACCACUGAGUCAGCCUGACACCAGAAUUCAGGAACUCAAUCCAGAUCUAUUACAGUGUGGCAGGAACCCUAGUACUUGAUCCAUCACCUGAUGGAUCUCAGGGUGCACAUUGGUAGGAAGUUAGAAUUGGAAAUGGAGCAAAUACCUGAACCCAAAUCCUCUGAUAUAGGAUGUAGACAUACCAAAUUCCUACUGCUAUGAAUUUUGAAGUCUCUGCACGUCAAUAAAGCAUCACGUUAUAUACCAUAAAUGUGCAUAAUAAAAAUAAAUCUAAAGAGCAGAUUGAUUUUCUAUUAUACUUCUUAUGAUUUUUCAAAUUUUCAUGUUACAGAAACUUUCCUCCUCUUCCCACCAUCCACUCUUAAUUUUUACUAUGAUCUGCUUUCAGUUUACUUAAUGACCGUAUAGUUAGCCCUCCACCAAGUAAAAGAAUUCAACAAAUAAUAUGAAGAAAAAAAGAAAAAAAAAACAAAAAUGAAACAAGCUAAAAAACACACUAUUAAUCAACAGGAGAGACAAGGGCCAUAAACAAUCAUUGAAUCUCACAAUGUCUAUUUCACUCCAAUACAUUGUAUUUCAGGUACUCUAUUAGUUACCUCAGAUCAGGUCAUUUUGGAACUGGCUUAUUUCACUAAGUAUGAUGGUUUCUAGUUGUGUCCAUUCUUUUGGCAAAGGACAGGAUUUCAUUUUUUUACAGCUUAGUAGUACUCCGUAGUGUUGAGAAAUUAUAUAUACCAUAAUUUCUUGAUCCAGUCUAUAGUUGAUGGAUAUCUAGGUUGAUUCCAUAUGUUUGUUUUGUAAAUUGUGCUGCAGUGAACAUGGAAGUUCAGAUAAGUCUUUCAUAUGCUGAUUACUUUAGCUUUGGGUAAAUUCCCAGGAGUGGGAUGGCUGGAUCAUUCGGUAGGUCUAUAUUCACAUUUCUUUUUUUUUUUUUAACAGGCAGAAUGGACAGUGAGAGAGAGAGAGAGAGAGAGAGAAAUGUCUUACUUUUCCAUUGGUUCACCCCCCAACGGCUGCU